rnacentral:rRNA from 1 species
CUCGCAUUCUGUCAGCGAUCUGGUGGUUCCCAGUUUUGGCAGGCCGUCAUCCAGCUGCUUCCUGUGCUCCUCAUCGGCACGUCCAUCUCAGUUGGCACUGGGUCCUCGACCCUAUUCUGGUUUGAUCGGUGGAUCAGCGACCUACCCCUGGCCGCGAGAUUUCCAGAGCUCUUUGCCAUUGCGGUGGACCCUCCGGUAUCUGUCUAGACGACCCUUAUUGACUUAGGGCGCCUCACCUUAUGUCGCCCCUUUGGCCCGCCUGAAAUGGCCGCAUGGGAUGCUCUCCUCCAGGACAUCGCCCUCCUCCCGAUGAACGUUGAGGACACCCAGGACGGCAUAUCUUGGCGACUGGAGCCCUCCGGUUGCUUUUCCACUAAAUCCCUUGUCGGGGUUUUGGUGCGACAUAUGCCAACGGGUGGCUUAUCAUGGUGGGGGAUAGUAAGACGUCGCCGGUGCCAGGAAGCGGGAUGA